rnacentral:lncRNA from 1 species
CCGGCGCCUCCGGCCCACCUGGCAGCUCCCGGCGUGGUGGCGCCUUGAGCGCCUGCGGCUGCUGCCCGCGCCGGGCCCCGAGGAGCAGGCCCUGCGCCCGGAGCACGCGAGAAGCUCCACUUCUGCGAGGACGACGCGGCGCAGCUGUGCGCGCUGUGCGGGGAGGCGCGGGAGCACCGUGCGCAUCGCGGGCGCCGCCUGGAGGCCGCCGUAGUGCUUGUUUGGUUUUUCCUGGGUGUUCUCUGUUACUUCCUUGCGCAGGUCACAUGGGACCUGAAUACGUGCUCCUUGAAUGAGCGGAUGAAAGAAAUGAACAAAUUCAGAAGAUUCUUGAAUGUCUGAGGAAAGAGAGAGGAGAUUCAAGGAAUCCGGGCAAGAGAGAGUCAGAGACUCCACGUCCUCCUGGUGGUCAGCUUCCCUGCCCCUCCCUCCAUCAGGGGCGAGAGCACACUGGGCCUUGAGACCAUUCUGGGCCUGAGUCCUGACUUCAGCCUUAUGAACCAGAUGACCUCAAGCAACUCACUUACCUCAGUUUACCUGUCUAUGAAAUAGAGAUUAAAAAUAAUCAUACUCCUCCAACUGUUGUAGUGAAUGGGUGAGUCUGUGUCUUGGAGAAGCUGAGAGCUGUGUGCCUGGCCUGCACUUGUAAAAGGCAGGUAG